CUCUGCUCCGCUCUCCGCUCUCUAAUUCAUAUUUCAGGAUGUUAUUAGAGCGCGCGGCGAAAUGUCAGGAUCUUUACAAGCGACGGCUUCUCCUGCCUUGAUCGGGGGGGAGCAGAAUCAGACAGCGAGGACAAGGAGACGCGGAGAGAAACGCUGCCAUUUCAGGCCUUCCAGACUGGAAUAAACCAUUUAGCUCUGUCUCCUCUGGCUGGGCUCUGUGCUGGAAAUGACUGAGCAGGAGGAAGAAGAAGAAGAAGAAGAAGAAGAA